GGGGAUUUAGCUCAGUGGUAGAGCGCUUGCCUAGCAAGCACAAGGCCCUGGGUACGGUCCCCAGCUCCA
rfam:Rattus norvegicus chromosome 11, whole genome shotgun sequence.